UAAUCAGUCUGAUAUUUUUGAUUGAAAGGACUGUCAUUACUUGUAUCUGAAUAAUUGAUGUGUUCAUAUCUCCAAAUCUCAAUAGCUGGUGAGUUUAGCUUUGAACAAUUAAUUCUGGGGACAACAAGUUCAGAAAGAAAUGCAAACAAACACAAUAUUUACACAGAAUUGCUAAGGGUCUUUUUAAAAAUUUCUGUUUAAUUUCAAAGAAAGUAUAUCUAAAAAUGAAAUGCCUAUGGAAUAUUUCCUCCAAUAUAAUCUUACUAAAAAGCCUUACCAGCAAUAUUUUAAGGAGGCAUUGUUGAAUAGGUCUGCAGCAGCUUCUUAUGAGCCUGUGAAUUUCUAAUGUACUUGGGAAGAUCAUCCUUCCACAAACAGCCCAUUGGAGUUGAGCCUAAGGUUCAUCCAGGGUUCAGAUGCUUCAUUACCACCAGGCAGGAAAUGAGCAGGUUCUGGGCAAGAUGACUUUGUAGGCCCUGAUCUUAGAAAAGUUGGAUGGGAGGAAGAAGCAUGAAUCUCAAGGAAUAUGUAGUAAGCGAGAGAUUCAUAGCAGAAAAAACUUCACAUGAGACCAAGACAAAUUUGACCUAAAUGUUGUUUUCUUCCUUGUCCUGUAAAAUAUUUUGAAAAUAUAUUUACAGAUUUAUAUGCAGGAAUAAUUUUAUUUAGGAAUAACUUCUUUUUUUCUGUAAGAAUCCAUGUGAGUUCACAAUGAUCACUUGUUCGAGUACAAAGUAUGACAAUUUAACAAAGACAGGAGAAACUGUACUAAUUUCUUAUUUCUAUGGUCUUAUUUUUACUGAUACUUUGAUAAUUGAUGCUUGAAAGAAUGGUGUACUUAUUAGUCUAAAAUUAGGUUUAGAGUGACAUCAAAAAGGUUUCCAUUUAUUUACAUUUACUUGCUUUUAUUCUUGUUGUACCACAAUCUAUUUCUGACUGUUCUGUUGUUCAGAAUGAAUUCAGUGAUUGAUACAGACUUCUUAAGGUGUUUGAAUGUCUGGACAGCAGUGGAUGGAUGUUUAGGUAGAAGGACCCACCACAAUCCUUCCACUACAAUCAUUCCACUUAUCCAUGGAAUGACUCUUACUAUUUUUACUGUCUGGAGUGCUUACAGUACUAGAAUAAAAUACUAAAUUAAUACCAAUAAAGAUUUAUCUGUGCAAGGUGACCUUAAUCUAAUGUAGAUAGAGCUAGUUUUCUAGCUCUAAGUAUCGUAUAUUUCAAAUUUUAAAAUUAAGUGGAAGGGAUUUGGGCAGUACAAAAUAAGAAAGAUCUGGUU